rnacentral:rRNA from 1 species
AUUGAACGCUGGCGGCAGGCUUAACACAUGCAAGUCGAGCGGAGAUGAGGUGCUUGCACCUUAUCUUAGCGGCGGACGGGUGAGUAAUGCUUAGGAAUCUGCCUAUUAGUGGGGGACAACAUUCCGAAAGGAAUGCUAAUACCGCAUACGCCCUACGGGGGAAAGCAGGGGAUCUUCGGACCUUGCGCUAAUAGAUGAGCCUAAGUCGGAUUAGCUAGUUGGUGGGGUAAAGGCCUACCAAGGCGACGAUCUGUAGCGGGUCUGAGAGGAUGAUCCGCCACACUGGGACUGAGACACGGCCCAGACUCCUACGGGAGGCAGUAGUGGGGAAUAUUGGACAAUGGGCGGAAGCCUGAUCCAGCCAUGCCGCGUGUGUGAAGAAGGCCUUUUGGUUGUAAAGCACUUUAAGCGAGGAGGAGGCUACCUGGAUUAAUACUCUAGGAUAGUGGACGUUACUCGCAGAAUAAGCACCGGCUGACUCUGUGCCAGCCGCCGCAGUAACAC